rnacentral:rRNA from 1 species
CAACUUUUAACAACGGAUCUCUUGGUUCUCGCAUCGAUGAAGAACGUCGCAAAGUGCGAUAACUAGUGUGAAUUGCAUAUUCAGUGAAUCAUCUAGUCUUUGAACGCAACUUGCGCUCAUUGGUAUUCCAAUGAGCACGCCUGUUUCAGUAUCAAAA